UAAAUAAGCCUAAGUAGCUUGCCUCACCUCUCCUUCGUCUUUCUAAGUGUUUACAAAACUAUGAGGUUUCAUAAAAUAAAACUAUUACUGUAAAUUUUAGCUGACCUGGAAAAUCUUACCUUUUGCAUCAUGUGUGAAUAAUAAGUCACCUGCGCGUGAAUCUUACGAACUGUUUAGAAUAAUUUAUGUAAAAUUUAAACUGUGGUAGCAUUUUAAUAAAUAUAAAAAUUGGAAUGAUAUGUUAACAUUAAAUAGAUGCUUAUUAAAUUUUAUUGGAAUAAUUCCAACUAUCAGAGAGAUAAGAGAUGAGAAGAGAUAAGUUUUUUCAUUACCAAUUAAAUAGUAACGUCUGCAAUUUUUAAUAUAAAUAUUAAUGUUAAUCUGAGUUUAUAAAAAUUCUUUAAAUUUUAGUAUUUAAUCUUUUAUAAAAAAAAAUUUUUUAAGGGAACUUUCCAAUUUUUCCUUAAAAAUAUAUUUACAUGAGUAGUUAAGCUGUACACCCGCAUAGUAAGAUAGGUCCUUAUUUAGAUUAUACCGUUCCACAUUAUAGUAAAAGCACUCGUCUAAAUAUAUUUAGCCUGUUUAUCAAAAACACCGUAAAUUAUAUUUAUAAUACCUGCUCAGUGAAUACUUAAACAGCCGCGUUAGUGCUAAGGUAGCAUAAUAAUUAGUUUUUUAAUUGGAAAAUGGAAUGAAUGGUUUCACUAAAAUAUAGCAUUUACACUAGUAAGUGAAAUUUUAAUUUAAGUGAAAAUUCUUAAAAGACCCACUUAGACGAGAAGACCCUAUGAAUCUGGUAAACUAAGAAUAUGCCUACAAUAGUUAAUUGUUUAUUUUUUGGGGUAAAAAUUAAUAAAAAUAUUAAUAAAUACUUAUUUAACUUAAUCCUCUAGGAAACAUGAAGAAGAUCCUCUAGGGAUAACAGCAUUAUACUUAAAAGAGUUCUUAUCAGAAUAAGUGUUUGUGACCUCGAUGUUGAAUUAAAUACUCCCGUGUGUGUAGGAGCUCACUGGAGACGGUCUGUUCGACCUAUAAUAUUUACAUGAUUUGAGUUAAAAUCGACGUAAGUCAGAUUGGUUUCUAUCUAGUGUGUAAAUUAUUAUCGCUUAGUACGAAAGGAAUAGCUAUAAUUUUAAUUCA
rnacentral:rRNA from 1 species